rnacentral:sRNA from 1 species
UGCUUCUAAUGAGUGGCCGAGAUAGUGA